AAUGCAUUGAUUUGUAAACGAAAUACAGGUAAAGACAAUUUAGAAUCAGCAGAAAAAGAAGUAGAUUUGAAUGGGUUAACAGAAGACAAAUCAGAUUUAAAUGAACAGUGUAACAAUGUAACAGAGAGAACAUUGUCAGAAAAAGUCUGUGAAUUAGAGGAUAGAGUUGAACUAAGAAAUGAUCUUAUUUGCCAGCUUAGAAAUGAAGCUAAACUAGUGUGUGUUAAUACAAGAAAAAUAAAGGCACAGAAUCUAAUCCCAGAACCAAUAGAUACUGAAAAUGUAUCCUCAC